AGUCGCGGGCGCACGCGCAGUUGGGAGCAGGGCCUCGCUUCUGUGGUGGUGUGGGUGAGCUGGGUGCUGGUUGACUCGUGUUGGCCCUCAAAAACCCCGCGUAGCCGCUGCCACCCUCUCCUGCCCUCACCAUGUUCCUCACCCGGUCUGAGUACGACAGGGGCGUGAAUACUUUUUCUCCUGAAGGAAGAUUAUUUCAAGUGGAAUAUGCCAUUGAAGCUAUCAAGCUUGGUUCUACAGCCAUUGGGAUCCAGACAUCAGAGGGUGUGUGCCUAGCUGUGGAGAAGAGAAUUACCUCCCCACUCAUGGAGCCAAGCAGCAUUGAGAAAAUUGUAGAGAUUGAUGCUCACAUAGGUUGUGCCAUGAGUGGGCUAAUUGCUGAUGCUAAGACUUUAAUUGAUAAAGCCAGAGUGGAGACACAGAACCAUUGGUUCACCUACAAUGAGACAAUGACAGUGGAGAGUGUGACUCAGGCUGUGUCCAAUCUCGCUCUACAGUUUGGAGAAGAAGAUGCAGAUCCAGGUGCUAUGUCUCGUCCCUUUGGAGUAGCACUGUUAUUUGGAGGAGUUGAUGAGAAAGGACCCCAGCUGUUUCACAUGGACCCUUCCGGAACCUUUGUACAGUGUGAUGCUCGAGCAAUUGGCUCUGCUUCAGAGGGUGCCCAGAGCUCCUUACAAGAAGUUUACCAUAAGUCUAUGACACUGAAAGAAGCCAUCAAGUCUUCACUCAUCAUCCUCAAACAAGUAAUGGAGGAGAAGCUGAAUGCAACUAAUAUAGAGGGCACUUUCACUUGUCCAAGACCGUUUACUCCACCAGUACUCUGAUGUUUCGAAACCUGGCUGUCCAUCAGUCUUUGGAAAUGAGGCCCAGAAAUCUGUAUUUUUGAAGUCUCUUUGGCUAGCCACGGUGCAGCCCGGCCAGAAUUUCCACAUGUUCACAAAGGAAGAACUUGAAGAGGUUAUCAAGGACAUUUAAAGAAGCAUGAUCCUCAGAACUUCUCUGGGACAAUUUCAGUUCUCCUAAAUGCUUUUAACUUUUAAUUCCAGCUCCUGUUCUUGGAAGAUCUUCAGUGUAUGUGCAUUUUUUUUUAUGAUGUCUGUACAUAAAGGCAGUUCUGAAAUAAAGAAAAAUUUAAAAUUUGUUAA